rnacentral:rRNA from 1 species
UACGGAGGGAGCUAGCGUUGUUCGGAAUUACUGGGCGUAAAGGGCGCGUAGGCGGACAGUUUAGUCAGAGGUGAAAGCCCAGGGCUCAACCUUGGAAUUGCCUUUGAUACUGGCUGUCUUGAGUUCGGGAGAGGUGAGUGGAAUGCCGAGUGUAGAGGUGAAAUUCGUAGAUAUUGGGAAGAACACCAGUGGCGAAGGCGGCUCACUGGCCCGGUACUGACGCUGAGGCGCGAAAGCGUGGGGAGCAAACAGG